rnacentral:rRNA from 1 species
UACAGAGGUGGCAAGCGUUGUUCGGAAUUACUGGGCGUAAAGGGCGCGUAGGCGGCCUUCUAAGUCAGACGUGAAAUCCCCCGGGCUUAACCUGGGAACUGCGUUUGAAACUGGAAGGCUUGAGUGUGGCAGAGGGGGGUGGAAUUCCACGUGUAGCAGUGAAAUGCGUAGAGAUGUGGAGGAAUAUCAAUGGCGAAGGCAGCCCCCUGGGAUAAUAUUGACGCUCAUGCACGAAAGCGUGGGGAGCAAACAGG